GCCUAAAGCGUCCGUAGCCGGCUCUGUUAGUUUUCGGUUAAAUCCAAAUGCUCAACAUAUGGGCCGCCGGGAAUACUACAAAGCUAGGGGGUGGGAGAGGUAGACGGUACUCCGUAGGAAGGGGUAAAAUCCUUUGAUCUAUGGAUGACCACCAGUGGCGAAGGCGGUCUACCAGAACACGUUCGACGGUGAGGGAUGAAAGCUGGGGGAGCAAACCGGAUUAGAUACCCGGGUAGUCCCAGCUGUAAACUAUGCAAACUCAGUGAUGCAUUGGCUUGUGGCCAGUGCAGUGCCGCAGAGAAGUCGUUAAGUUUGCCGCCUGGGAAGUACGUACGCAAGUAUGAAACUUAAAGGAAUUGGCGGGGGAGCACCACAAGGGGUGAAGCCUGCGGUUCAAUUGGAGUCAACGCCAGAAAUCUUACCCGGAGAGACAGCAGAAUGAAGGUCAAGUUGAAGCCUUUACCAGACAAGCUGAGAAGUGGUGCAUGGCCGUCGCCAGCUCGUGCCGUGAGGUGUCCUGUUAAGUCAGGUAACGAGCGAGAUCCUUGCCUCUAGUUGCUACCAUUACUCUCAGGAGUAGUGGGGCGAAUUAGCGGGACUGCCGUAGUUAAUACGGAGGAAGGAGAGGGCCACGGCAGGUCAGUAUGCCCCGAA
rnacentral:rRNA from 1 species